GACAGAGGAGCCAAGCGUUGUCCGGAUUGACUGGGCGUAAAGCACACGCAGGCGGUCGCGCGCGUGGGGUGUGAAAACUGGCGGCUUAACUGCCAGAGGCCAUCCCAUACGGCGCGACUCGAGCCAUGCAGAGGUCCACGGAAUUGCCGGUGUAGUGGUGAAAUGCGUAGAUAUCUGGAGGAACACCGGUGGCGAAGGCGGCAUCCUGGACCAACACUGACACUGAGGAGCGAAAGCCAGGGGAGCAAACGGG
rnacentral:rRNA from 1 species